rnacentral:lncRNA from 13 species
AGAAAUAUUCUCUGGUCCUUUACCCUGGUGUCUCUUGAUCUAAGACUAUUCUCAUAGUUGCUUGAUUAUAAGAAUCACGUGAAUCUUAUCAUCCAUGUUAACAAGACAAUUUCUGGUCCCAGCCUAGAGUCAGAAUUUCCGGGGCGUUGGGGGUGGGGUUGGGAAGCUGUGCUGCGCAAGCUUCGCCGGUGAUUCUCAUCACCACAGAAGGACUGGUUUCAGGUGUGCCUUCCUGCCAGGUGAGGGAGAGCCUUUAAAAGAGGUGUAGUCAUCAAGCGCACAGACUUUUUAUUUUCACUGUCUGGGUUUGCCUCUCAGCACUGCUUCGUGAAGUAUCGCCAUCUUAGUUAUCACCCCUUCCUCAUUGGAGACAAUGAAUCAUCCCCACCCCGUAGAGGGCCCUCUCCUGGAGGAAAAGAAGAACAAUCGGAGAGCAGGUGAGAGUCAAACUUCUGGAGUCAAGAAAUCCUCUUGCCUCAGCCUGCUAAAUGGCUGGAACUACAGACAUGCACCCUGUGCCCAGCAGAAUCUGGAUUUCUUGAUCUCCACUCCUGAUUUGAUAAAGGGAUGGGC